UCCAUCACCAUCCUCCUUACCACUGGCUUUUGGGACACCCCAACCAUCAUCUCUUACAUCAAUUCCGUCUCCCAAGCCUUCCCAUCUAUCUCCUUCUUUCGCUUCCCUUCCAUCUCCAUUGACCUAUCUCAAAACUGCAGCGGUGCCGCCAUUGCCUUCCACUUCAUCCGCCUUCAUGCACCCAACGCCCUCCAUUCUCUUCAACAAAUCUCCAAAUCUCAAAAAAUCUCCGCUUUUAUCAUUGAUCUUUUCUGCACUUCGGCUUUAUCUAUGGGAAAAGAUCUUAACAUCCCUACUUUUUACUUCUUUACCUCUGGUGCUUCUACCCUUGCUGCUUUCCUUCAAAUCCCAAAGCUUGAUAAACAAACCUUUGGAAGAAGCUUCAAAGAUCUGCCCAACACGGUCUUCCAUUUUGAGGGUGUGCCAUCGUUGAGAGCUGUACACAUGCCUGACCCUUUACUUGAUAGAGAUGAUCCAGCUUAUCAUGAUUUUAUGUACUUCAUGUCAAGUCUUCAACAAUCAGACGGAAUCAUAGUCAACACUUUUGAAGAUCUUGAACCCAUUUCCAUUAAGGCUAUUGCUAAUGGUUUAUGCCUUCCUGAUGCUCCAAGGACUCCACCAACGUUCUACAUUGGACCUUUGAUUGCACCAAGUAAACAUGAAGCUGAAAAUGACUAUUGUUUAUCAUGGCUAGAGAAGCAACCGAGUCAAAGCGUUGUGUUCUUGUGUUUUGGAAGCCAUGGGUCGACGUUCUAUCCACCCCAAGUUAAGGAAAUAGCCAAAGGGUUGGAAAAUAGUGGGCAAAGGUUCUUAUGGGUUGUAAAAGAUCCACCCAAUCAUGAAAAGACUAAGCAAGCUGAAGAUAACCCUGAUGUGGAUUUAGACAGUCUUUUACCGGAAGGAUUUAUGGAGAGAACCAGAGAUAGGGGCUUGGUUGUGAAGUCAUUUGCGCCACAAGUAGCAGUGUUGAACAAGGACUCAAUUGGUGGCUUUGUGACACACUGUGGGUGGAACUCGGUAUUGGAAGCGGUGGUGGCUGGGGUGCCUAUGAUUGCAUGGCCUUUAUAUGCAGAGCAACACUUGAACCGGAACAUUUUGGUUGAGGAUAUGAAGAUGGCUAUUCCGGUGGAGCAAAUGGAGGGGGAUGGGUUUGUGAGUGGAACUGAGUUGGAGAAACGAGUGAGAGAGUUGAUGGAAUCAGAGAAGGGUGAGGAACUUAGAGAAAAGAGCAGGAAGCUGAAAGAGAAGGCCUUGGCUGCCAUGGGUCCAUCAGGGUCUUCUACUAAAGCACUUACCAAGCUGGUUGAGUUAUGGAAGUAAGGUUGAGGCCGUUGUUUCUUCUAUUGGUCCCUUCCCGUUCUUCUCUGCUUUUUAAACGAACUUUUACAACAGAAAGUCCUUUUCUCUUAAAAGCAAGGAAGAACGGCCAUCGUUUCAGAAUUUUUUCCACCAUCAAAGAAGUGCUUUUUGGCUGAUGGAGAAGUUAAAAAUUUCAACUUUUCUUCAGCCAAAAGUCCGUUUGGCUGAUAAUUUCCCAUUUUAACCUGUCUUCUCCCUCAAAAAAGUUUCUCUUCUCUGGUUCUUUGGAGCUUCCUAGAAGGUACGCUUCCUAGAAGUAAUUCGUAAUCUUUUUCUCUGUUUCUGAAAUUUCACUUCCCCAAUUCACAACCCUAACAUGUUUCUCUAAUCAGACUUCAAUCCAGGUUUUUUUUCCUUUUUUUCCUUGUGCGGAAUGUAAUUUUAUUUUCUCUCCUGUUUGGUUGUGGAGGAAAAAAAAGGGGCAUGUGACGGAGUUUUUAGAAAUCUUUUGUUCUCUGGUUUUCUUUCCUUAUUUAAAAAAAAAUAGUUGUUGAUUUUGAUUGGUUGCUAUUGUUUAUUCCCCUCCGAAGAUUUUCUUCUCUUUGACAAUGUUCUCUUCAUCCUGUUCCAUUUCCAACUUAUAACUUCACAUAUUUAUAUUGCAUUUCUUUGGUAUUGACGAUGAGGGUGUUCUUAAUUUCUCGGGGUAUUGAAGAAGACAUUUAGAAUGAAAAAUGAGUUAUUUAGAAUUGGGAUUGAGAAUGUUCAUUAGAUUUGAGGAAAAUGGUGGAAGGGAAGAAAGAGGUUAAAGGAGAUGGUUCUAUGCCGUUAAGUUUCUUCUAGGUACUAAGUAGGAGAAAAGAAGGAAAAAAAACUCAUUUUUGUGUUCAUCCUGUUCUAAGUCCAACUUAUAGCUUUACAUAUUUUAUUGCUUUGCUUUGGUAUUGACAAUUAGGAAGUUCUUAAUUUUUGAAGCAAACAUUUAGAAUGAAAAUGAGUUAUUUAGAACUGAAAUUGAGAAGUUUUGUAGAUUUUUGACAAUUGGUGGAAGGGAAGAACAGAUUUAAAUGAGAUAUGUUAUUCUGUACUGUUGUUACUAUCUUUUAUAUCCCCGGUUAAUGUAGUAUUUGGUGAGAAAGAAAAUGGAAAAACUUCAAGUUUCCGCUGUUAAGUUCCUUCUUAGUUCUAAGUAGGAGAAAAGAAGGGACUUUCUAUGUUUUCAUGUCAACUUUUCACAGUUGUAUUGUUUGCUGUGGUUUUGACCUUAGCAAGUUUUUAUAUUUGAUUGGUGCAAAUGCAUGGAUGAUUGAGGAAGUUAUAGCAAACAAUGUUUGACUCGAUAUGGGUUUUACUGGUGAAUAUACCAGAGGUGUUUGGGACUUUCUAUGUUUUCAUGUCUGCUUUUGAGUCAGUUUUAUAAAUCAAGCACCAUCACUUUGUUGGACCAUUACUUUUCUUGCUCAAAUGUUCCUAAGUAUAAGAAAACUGUGAGAAGUCUUUCAUUUUCAGUGAUAUUUUUCUUCAUCCUGUUCCAAUCCUAGUUACAACUUUAUAUAUCUUAUUGCUUUGCUCCAGUAUAGACCUUAGGAAGUUAAAACUUAUAGCUUUACAUCUUUUAGUGUUCCUUUUUUCUGUUAUGCCUCUUUUGCUUUACUGCUUUGCUUUAGCAAUUGCUAGAUCCCCACCAAUCAGUUAGUGCAUAUAAGAGUAUGCAGGUUUGUUUACCAAGUCUCUCUCUACAUGGUGGGUCAACUAAUUAAUUUACAUGCAACAAGUCUGUGCGAAGAGACAAUAUGUGUUAUGGUUAUUAGCGGGAAGAUAUAUAUCGCGCCACUAAAUUAUCAAAGCUCAAACGUAAAUUGUGGAAUCUCAAUCUUUCGUGUUUUGUUUCCAGGAACAUAUGAAUGUGCAAGUUUUGUUCAAACUUAAUGUAAAUCAAACAAAUAAAAUGGGGAGGCAACUUUAUUGAUGAACUCACUAAGUUUCUCACGAACUUACUAUAUUUUCUCUCUUUUAUUUUCAAGUAAUCUUAAUUGUUCAACGUUGGAACUAAGCUAGAGUCUUCAAGCCUUAUGUGAGCAUAUCACCUUUUGCUUGUAACAUGUAUAUAUACAGGGGGCGAAUGAAAUUUUAAUUUUUUAUAGUCUAUAUUUUUAUAAUUUUUAAAGGAUAAAAUUGAUUUUUAUAAUUUCAGGGGCCACAGUACAAUUUUACCUUUACUAAUUUAAAAUUUUAAAAAAAAAUUCAAGAGCCUAAAUAGAAAAUUUUCAUUUUAAGGGGCCAGCCCCCUAUCCGCCUCUAUAUACCUGGGCAACCUGUAGAGUUAAACUCUUGUUUUAUAUAUCGAGAAUAACUUUUUUAAACAUAGUUCUAAUUGUAAUUAUACGUAUGACAUUAGAGUGACAAAAUCGAAGUUUUGUAUUACUAGAAGUUUGAUAUAUAUAUAAUUUAAAUAUUGAAAAUUUACAGCAAACAUUCUCUAUAAAUUUAUCGAACAAAGAAAAAUAAAUAAAUAUAGAUUAUUUUCCAUGGUUUCGAGUCGUGAUCUCGGCGUGUUGGUCGUCCUGCCUAUUGUUUGGGUGUUACGUAUUUACAUAUAAAAAUAAUAAUGAUAUUUGAAACAAUUAUUUUAUUUUAUAAUAUUAUAAAUUACCAUACCCACAAUAUAGGUGGAGAAAAUAAAUGUUUAAUAUAUAAAAAAAUCAAACAAAUUAGUUAAAAAUAAAAUAUAUUUUACAUAAUCAUACAUAUAAAAACACAUUUUUAUCAUAUAAUUACAUAUUUAUUAUUUUAUUUAUAAAAAUAAAAGAGUUAUUAAUUAUAAAGAUGAGUUAAAAAAACUUGAAAACAAUAUUUAUUAAUUAAAAAUUUAAAAAAUAAAACAAUAUAAAAUAAAAAAAUACAAAUGUGAGUAGAAGGGCAAUUAAGCUUGAGACUCAAAGACAAAAUCACUAACAUUUAACUAACUAAAUGAGUUAAAAUGUUAGAAGAAAACGCGCUUUGUAGGAAGCGGUCUUCAAAAUCGACUUAUUUCCCUCAAUUUGAAAAAUUUCGGCCUAAUUCUUUAAAUUUUUUUUAUUUCGACAUUUUUACCUAAUUUUCCCAACACUUUUAUCACGGUAAUAAUCUAGUCCACCAAAUAUUACUGUUGGUCCUCAACAAUAAAAAAGGGUUAAAAAUCUUACCCUUGCCCUCACUGCUAUAUAUUUAAGACCACACAAAUCUUUAAAACCCUUCAUCUUAUCAUUCUCAACCAAUCUUUUAAAUUAAUUCCCUCAAUUUCAUUAUUUAACAAAUUUAUUCUUCUUUUUCAUGUUUUAUAAACAUAUUUUUUUAUCUAAUUGAUUGAAAAAGUAUUAAGUUAAUAAAGUUAAUGAGAUUUAAACUAAUAAAAUUACAAAAUUUAUCACAAAUUGAAUUAAAAUUUUUAAAACCAAGAAGGAACUAAAGUAAAAAAAAAAAAAAAAAAAAAACGUUCAUGUUUGGCUUGAUGGUCAAGGGAUGUUCAUUCAUAGAACCCACUUAGAUUUGAGUUUUUGCGAAAACAAGUGGUAGAUUUUAUUUAGACAGCUCUUUUUAGAUGAUGUGUGUGUAGUGUGGGUAUAUCCUACCUUGUGUGUGAGUAUUAACUCUUCAAUUUUACAUUAUUAAAAAAUACCAUAAGGGUCAAACAUAAAUUCUCAUAUAUUUUUUCUAUUUAUUAUAAGAGGUUAAAUGAAAUUUUAAAAAAUUGGAAGGAGUUGAGGCACCUAUCAGCUUAGGUUGAGCGUUCAAUUGAAUCAAGUUGACGGAUGAAAAAAGUUCGAAUUAAUCGAGCUGGCAAGUCUUAUUUUCUCAUCCUAAACAUGUUUGAGAUUUUUUCGAAUCGAGUCGAGUGGAGUGUAAUUCGAGUCUAGUCAAAUCAAGUAAAAUUGUUCAAGUUAAAUUAAAAAAUUAAACCUGUCAAAUGAAAAUCUUUGUACAAUAUAACUAAUUCCAUGUUAGAGCAUAUAAAUUUAAAUCAUAUAUAUUUGAAAACUUUUCUAAAGCAAAAUAAAAAAGAAGAAGAUACUUUUAAUAUGAUAAACUUGAAUAAUUAAUUAACUUGUUUAGGUCCCAAAAUUAUUAUUUUAGAAUUUUUUUUAAAUUUUCUUUAUAUAUUCUUUAGAAUUUUUUUUAGAAUUUUUUAAAAAUAUAAAUUUAGGAAUUUUCAGAAAGAUUUUUAAUUGUAAAAAUUAUUUUGAAUUUUUGAAAAUCAAUUUGAUUUUUUUUUUGUAAUUUUAGUUGAGAGACCAAUUUGCUUAUUUUCAAAAUUGAGAGGGACCAAAGGGGUAUUUACACUAAUUUGUCAUUUGAAUUGUAAAAUUAAACUCAACUCGAAAAAAUCGAAUAACUCAAUUCGAUUAACUCGAAAUUUACUUUUUUUUGAGUUUUUAAAAUUGAGUCGAGUUUUGCUCAUUCCUACUGCCAGCCCUCCCUCUCUUCGUCCUAACCCAAAAACCCAAGUUUGGGUAUCUAUAUUAUAAUUAAGAUUUUGUCUGAGUUGAUGUCACCCAUCAACUGAAUCUCUACUCAAUCCUAAAGUUAUUAAAAGCCCCUUAAGAAAAUAAUAGAUAUUAUUUUGAGAGCAAUUUUACCUUUUCAUAUAAAAUCUAGAAAAUUUCAUAUAUAUAUGAUGGAAUUCGAAUCCAAAGCAUUAUAACUUUUAGCUUGAAGGGUCGAAAAGGCUCUUAGUAAAAAAUAAUAAAAACUCAAUUAAACCCUUAAAAAAAACUUCACCUUAUUAAGCCCUCAAUGACUGGAAAAAAUCUAGAAAGUUGAUGUAACAACUAAAUUGAGAUAAAUCUCAAAAUUAUAUAUGAACUUUGAUUUAAUGUGCAAUUGUAUACAUAAAUUUUAAUUUGGUACAAUUAUACACAUGAAACUCUAAUUGUGGUUUAAAUGUAUACUUGAAAAUUUAAUUUUGACUUAAUCAUGCACAUUUAAAGAAAUAAAUACAUCAAUUUAUUUUUAUAUUGGAUAAAUAUAAUUAUUUAUGAAUGCAAUAUAUAAAUAUAAAUAUAAAAAUGAUGUUAUAUCAAUAAUUGUGUUAAUAAUUUACAAGAAUUGGAUCAAAUCAAAAUUUCUUGUAUAAAAUUGCACAAAAUCAAAAUUCAUGUAUACAAUUGCACAUUAAACAAUAGUUCAUGUAUAGUUUUGGUAUUUAUCCCAACUAAACUAUAUGAUUAGAGAUAUGAAAUUUUGGAAAGUUAAGCAUAAAAUAGUAAGUCUGAAACUAUAGGGAUUAAACUAUAAAAAAUUCAAAAAAUGAGUUUUAGGACUUAUUUAUAUGAUUUGAGAAUUUAAGAUUCUGAAAACAGAAUGUGAAAUUUUAACGGUUCGAAAAUCAGGGACUAAUUUAUAAAAAUUUAAAUUGUAGGGACUAAACUCAACAUUCAAAUAAAAUUAGAAGUUGAGGGAAAUCGCAUCAUAUGAAAUCACUAGCCUCUAAGAAAUUCAACAACUGAUUUCUAUGUUUUCAUUAAAAUUGAAUUUUAUUAAUUUAUUUGUUGAAUUAUUAUUUGUCACUAAACCCGAAUCCGAUUUAGGGUAAAAAAACAUGUCUAAAAUUUUAUUGAGACUCAAUCCGAACUUGACUCAAUCCAUGAUCGUUUUUAUUUGUCAUCGUCUCAAACCAAUAAUUUAAAAUAAAUAUAAAUUAAAUUAUUGUUAAUUAAGUAUUUGCCAUACAUUAUCUUCAACUUUAUUUUUAAAAUAAUCAAAAAUAAAUUUUAAAUAUUCAUAAAUUAUUUUAUUUAAGGGUGAUGAAUUUUUUAGUCAAAUUAUGCUAUUAGACCUUCUAGUUUGUGUAAUGGUGGAUUUAGUGCCUCUAUUUUAAUUUGAUCAAUUUUAAUUUUUGUACUUUUAGAAUUUUCAAAUUUUAAUCCCGACCCAAUGAUAAUAGUUAAAUUUGUUUGGUUAAAUUAUGUUUUUAGUCAUGUAUUAUGCGUAAAGUUAUAGAUUUAGUCCACGUUCAUUAAUUGGAUCAUUCUUAGUGAUUAUAUUUUUUGAAUUUCAAAAUUUUAGUCAAUGACAAUCGAUAAAUCUAUGAACUUUUUUUUGGUAAGUAAUAUGUGAAAAUAACAAAUAACAUAGUAUUAUACAUGUGAUAAUAUGUUUCCCAUAUCGAAUUUUAAAAAUAACAAAACUUAACUUAAUGGAUUUAAUAAUUAUCAAUUGGUUAGAAUUAAAAUUUUCAAAUUCUAAAAAUAAAAAAAAAAGUAAAAAAGAAUAAAACUAAACAGGUCUACAGCUUACACAAAAUAUAGGGUCUAAUAGCAUAAAUUAACACAAAAUUUUAUGAAUGUUACUCAUGAAUUUGUUUGAAUUAAGAAAAGCCCUUCAAGGUUGUACUAGAGGUGCUCAUGGGCCGGGCAGCCUGGCCCGGCUCGACGGUCCGCCCGAAAUAUGAGAGGGUUUGGGUAAAAAUAUAGGCCCGAAAUAUGAGCUUGGGUAAAAAAAUAAGGCCCGUUUAGAAAACGGGCCGGGCCUCGGGCACCACUUUUUUAGCCCGGGCCUGGCCCGAUAUAAUAAAUAUAUUUAUUUUUUUAAUUUUUUUAAAUUUUAAAAUAUUUUUAAAAUACUUUUUUUAAUUUUUUUAAAUUUUAAAAUACUUUUUUUAAAUUUUUUAAUUUUAAAAUAUUUUUAAAAUACUUUUUUUAAUUUUUAAAAUACUUUUUUAAUAUUUAUUAAAAAAUGGGCUGGGCCGAGUCUGGGUAAAAAUUUUAGGCCCAUAUUUUGGGCCAGGCAUGGGCCUAAGACUCGUGCCAAAUUUUUUAUGGGUCCGGCCCGAACCUGGCCCGGCCCGGCCCAUGAGCACCUCUAGCCGUUGUACUAGAUAUUUCUUAAAUUUAAUUAAGUUGUCCUUUUCCUAUCAAAAAAGAUAAACAUGUCGUAGUGAUAAGAUGAAAGACCAACAAAAGUCAACAAAUACACAAGAAAUUUAUUGUUUCAUCAUUGUUCCAAAACAUAUCUCUUCAAAAAAAGAAAGAAAAUAAACAAUGCAAGAGACGAUCGUCCUUUACCCAUCGCCCGGAUUGGGCCAUAUGGUGUCAAUGGUGGAGCUUGGCAAACUCAUCCUUCACCACUACAACAACCGAUACUGCAUCACCAUCCUCCUUACCACUGGCCUUUGGGACACUCCAACCAUCAUCUCUUACAUCAAUUCCGUCUCCCAAGCCUUCCCAUCUAUCUCCUUCUUUCGCUUCCCUUCCAUCUCCAUUGACCUAUCUCAAAACUGCAGCGGUGCCGCCAUUUUCUUCCACUUCAUCCGCCUUCAUGCACCCAACGUCCUCCAUUCUCUUCAACAAAUCUCCAAAUCUCACAAAAUCUCUGCUUUUAUCAUUGAUCUUUUCUGCACUUCGGCUUUAUCUUUGGGAAAAGAUCUUAACAUCCCUACUUUUUACUUCUUCACCUCUGGUGCUUCUACCCUUGCUGCUUUCCUUCAAAUCCCAAAGCUUGAUAAACAAACCUUUGGAAGAAGCUUCAAAGAUCUGCCCAACACGGUCUUCCAUUUUGAGGGUGUGCCAUCGUUGAGAGCUGUACACAUGCCUGAACCUUUACUUGAUAGAGAUGAUCCAGCUUAUCAUGAUUUUAUGUACUUCAU
rnacentral:lncRNA from 1 species